CAGGGAAUGGUUCUGACAUGAUUGCUUUGCUGGAAGCCAGAAGAUACACAUUGGUCUGAGUAGCUUCCUUUUAUAUUGUAAAAAAGCAUCUACAGGGGAAAAAAGAAAUAUAAUAGAAUUUACAAAAAAUUCUACAUAAACAACCGAAGACAAUCAACAUGCAAAAGAAGACAAGCUGUACAGAAAAAAAUUAUACUGAGAACAUGAGAUAUAAAGAGUCCUUGAAAAUGCUGGAAAUCUGAAAUAAAAGCAGAAAGUGAUGGAACCUUGAGCAAGUCAGAAGUGAGGAAAAUGAUGUUUCAGGUGCAGGAUCCUGCAGCAACAGUUUGGAAUUCGUGAAUGACAUUAUUGGUAUUAUUACCGACAACACCACAGUUGACAUCCAUAUACAUAACUUCCACCAAGACCAGACCAUCAGGAAGCAGCACUGCGCAAAAGCAAAUAAGAGUGUGUAAUGCAAGUAAAUUUAGGAGAGGACUGACAGGUUUGUAUCAAUCGCCAGUAUCUUAAAUCCCACAGACAGUGGGAAAUGAAUUCAGACAGGAUGCAAAAUACUGUAGGUGAUCAAUGUAAAACUGUAACCUUUUCGUUGGAUGGUUAGGUGAAGGGCUACCUUCAGAAUCUCAAAUCAUUGUCUUUACCUAAAAUACUCCUAAAGAAAAAAACAAUCAUUUUUAUUUCCACAUCAACUUAGAUAUGAUGAAGAAUUGUUUUUGAGCCCUGAGGAAAUUAACAUAUUUUCUUCCAACACAGCUAUUGAUUUUGUGUUUUUGGACUCAUCAAUUAAUGUUCAGAUCAACUAUCACACAUUAAAUAAGGGUCAAAGAAUGAGGUGAGGUUAACACUCAUUUUCAGUCUUAUUUUCCCACAAGUUC